AGAAUCAACGCUGGCGGCGUGCCUAACACAUGCAAGUCGAACGCGAAAGUGGAGCAAUCCAUGAGUAGAGUGGCAAACGGGUGAGUAACGCGUGGGUGAUUUGCCUCAGGGGUGGGGGAUAA
rnacentral:rRNA from 1 species